rnacentral:tRNA from 1 species
GCUCGGUAGCUUAGUUGGUAAAGCGCUCGUCUAGCAUACAAGAGUCCUGGGUUCAAAUCCCAGAAGAGCA